UCAAGCGAACAAGGGCGCAGGGCGAAUGCCUUGGCACUGGGAGCCGAUGAAAGACGUGAUAAGCUGCGAUAAGCUUCGGGGAGCUGCAAAUAAGCAUUGAUCCGGAGAUUUCUGAAUGAGGAAACUCACCUGGGUUCAUACUCAGGUACGUUAUACUGAACUUAAAAAUAGGUAUAUCGAGGGAACCGCCUGAACUGAAACAUCUAAGUAGGGCGAGGAAGAGACAUCAAACGAGAUUCCGUAAGUAGUGGCGAGCGAACGCGGAAGAGGGCAAACCGGAAGUAGAAAUACUUCCGGGGUACGGACUGCUUUUAGGACUUAAUCUGUUAACCGAACGGCAUGGGAAGGCCGGUCAGAGAGUGUGAGAACCACGUAGGUGAAAACGGAGAGAGCUGCGCAGGAUCCAGAGUACGGCCAGACACGUGAAACCUGGUCGGAAUACGGGGGGACCACCCUCCAACCCUAAAUACUACCCAGUGACCGAUAGCGUAUAGUACUGUGAAGGAAAGGUGAAAAGCACCCCGGGAGGGGAGUGAAAAAGAACCUGAAACCCUGUGCCUACAAGCACCUAGAGCACGUCAAUGUGUGAUAGGGUACUUUUUGUAGAACGGUCCGGCGAGCGAUUGUAUGCAGCAAGGUUAAGGACUUAAGGUCUGGAGCCGAAGCGAAAGCGAGUUUGAAAAGGGCGUUAAGUUGCAUACAAUGGGCCCGAAACCGGGUGACCUACCCAUGGUCAGGUUGAAGUGGAAGUAAAAUUCCAUGGAGGACCGAACCGACCUCCGUUGAAAAGGCGGCGGAUGAACUGUGGGUAGCGGAGAAAUUCCAAUCGAACCCGGAGAUAGCUGGUUCUCCCCGAAAUAGUUUUAGGACUAGCCUCAAGUUAGAUACCUGGAGGUAAAGCACUGAAUAGCCUAGCGGCCGAGAGGUUAGCGAAGCUUAUCAAACUCAGAAUGCCAGAGUAUUGAUGCUUGGGAGUCAGACAGUGUCAGAUAAAUGUCAUUGUCAAAAGGGAAACAGCCCAGAUCUACAGCUAAGGUCCCAAAGUCAGGUUAAGUGGAAAACGAUGUGAAGAUACGUAGACAACCAGGAUGUUGGCUCAGAAGCAGCCACACAUUCAAAGAGUGCGUAAUAGCUCACUGGUCGAGCGUCUUUGCGCGGAGAAUUUAACGGGGCUAAACCUGACACCGAAGCUUAGGCAAUACAGUAAUGUAUUGGGUAGGGGAGCGUUGUAUACGCGGUGAAACAGUAGCGCAAGCGGCUGUGGAGUGUAUAGAAGUGAGAAUGCCGGAAUGAGUAGCGCGAAUGCAGUGAGAAUCUGCAUGGCCGAAAGCCUCAGGUUUCUGGAGGAAGGUUCGUCCGCUCCAGGUUAGUCGGGAGCUAAGGUGAGGCCUAACGGCGUAGCCGAUGCACAGACGGUAGAGAUUCCGUCACCACCAAAAGAGUUAAACACAGGGACACAUUUGAAGUCUCGGAGCCGGGUGUUGGUUCCGGUAGCGAUCGAGGGAAAUUAGUACCGAAGUCCGGGAUGGAAGAUGGCGAGAAAAGCUGUGUGUAUUUCUGCGGUGCCCGUACCGCAAACCGACACAGGUAGGUAGGAAGAAGAUUCUAAGGCCAACGGGAGAAGGGUUGUUAAGGAACUCGGCAAAUUGACCCCGUAACUUCGGGAGAAGGGGUGCUCCAGAGAUGGAGCCGCAGAGAAUCGGCCCAAGCAACUGUUUACCAAAAACACAGGUUUGUGCUAAAUCGAAAGAUGACGUAUACGAGCUGACGCCUGCCCGGUGCUGGAAGGUUAAGAGGAGAUGUGCAAGCAUUGAAUCGAAGCCCCAGUGAACGGCGGCCGUAACUAUAACGGUCCUAAGGUAGCGAAAUUCCUUGUCAGGUAAGUUCUGACCC
rnacentral:rRNA from 1 species